GUGGGGAAUUUUGGACAAUGGGCGCAAGCCUGAUCCAGCAAUGCCGCGUGCAGGAAGAAGGCCUUCGGGUUGUAAACUGCUUUUGUACGGAACGAAACGGUCCGGGUUAAUACCCUGGGCUAAUGACGGUACCGUAAGAAUAAGCACCGGCUAACUACGUGCCAGCAGCCGCGGUAAUACGUAGGGUGCAAGCGUUAAUCGGAAUUACUGGGCGUAAAGCGUGCGCAGGCGGUUUUGUAAGACAGGUGUGAAAUCCCCGGGCUCAACCUGGGAACUGCACUUGUGACUGCAAGGCUAGAGUGUGUCAGAGGGAGGUGGAAUUCCGCGUGUAGCAGUGAAAUGCGUAGAGAUGCGGAGGAACACCGAUGGCGAAGGCAGCCUCCUGGGAUAACACUGACGCUCAGGCACGAAAGCGUGGGGAGCAAACAGGAUUAGAUACCCUUGUAGUCC
rnacentral:rRNA from 1 species